rnacentral:rRNA from 1 species
GACGAACGCUGGCGGCGUGCUUAACACAUGCAAGUCGAACGGAAAGGCCCUGCUUGCAGGGUACUCGAGUGGCGAACGGGCGGGUAACACGUGGGUGAUCUGCCCUGCUCUUCGGGUUAAGCCUGGGCAACUGGGUCUAAUACCGGACAGGAGCCAUUUUUAGUGUGAUGGUUGGAAAGUUUUUUCGGUGUAGGAUGAGUUCGCGGCCUAUCAGCUUGUUGGUGGGGUAAUGGCCUACCAAGGCGGCGACGGGUAGCCGGCCUGAGGGGGUGGACGGCCACAUUGGGACUGAGGUACGGCCCAGACACCUACGGGAGGGAGCAGGGGGGAAUAUUGCACAAUGGGCGCAAGCCGGAUGCAGCGACGCCGCGGGGGGGAUGACGGCCUUCGGGUUGUAAACUCCUUGCGCUAGGGACGAAGCUUUUUGUGACGGUACCUAGAGAAGAAGCACCGGCUAACUACGUG